CAACAGGGAUUGCCCUAGUAACGGCGAGUGAAGCGGCAACAGCUCAAAUUUGAAAUCUGGCUUUCGGGCCCGAGUUGUAAUUUGUAGAGGAUGAUUUUGAUGCGGUGCCUUCCGAGUUCCCUGGAACGGGACGCCAUAGAGGGUGAGAGCCCCGUCUGGUUGGAUGCCAAAUCUCUGUAAAUCUCCUUCGACGAGUCGAGUAGUUUGGGAAUGCUGCUCUAAAUGGGAGGUAUAUGUCUUCUAAAGCUAAAUACCGGCCAGAGACCGAUAGCGCACAAGUAGAGUGAUCGAAAGAUGAAAAGCACUUUGAAAAGAGAGUUAAAAAGUACGUGAAAUUGUUGAAAGGGAAGCGUUUAUGACCAGACUUGGGCUUGGUUAAUCAUCUGGGGUUCUCUCCAGUGCACUUUUCCAGUCCAGGCCAGCAUCAGUUUUCGCCGGGGGAUAAAGGCUUCGGGAAUGUGGCUCCCCUCGGGGAGUGUUAUAGCCCGUUGUGUNNUACCCUGGUGGGGACUGAGGUUUGCGCUUCUGCAAGGAU
rnacentral:rRNA from 1 species